GUGAGGAAUAUUGGUCAAUGGGCGGGAGCCUGAACCAGCCAAGUCGCGUGAAGGAAGAAGGAUCUAUGGUUCGUAAACUUCUUUUGCAGGGGAAUAAAGUGCAGUACGUGUCCUGUUUUGUAUGUACCCUGAGAAUAAGGAUCGGCUAACUCCGUGCCAGCAGCCGCGGUAAUACGGAGGAUCCGAGCGUUAUCCGGAUUUAUUGGGUUUAAAGGGUGCGUAGGUGGUUUGAUAAGUCAGCGGUGAAAGUUUGCAGCUUAACUGUAAAAAUGCCGUUGAAACUGUCGGACUUGAGUGUAAAUGAGGUAGGCGGAAUGCGUGGUGUAGCGGUGAAAUGCAUAGAUAUCACGCAGAACUCCGAUUGCGAAGGCAGCUUACUAAGCUACAACUGACACUGAAGCACGAAAGCGUGGGGAUCAAACAGGAUUAGAAACCCUUGUAGUCC
rnacentral:rRNA from 1 species